rnacentral:rRNA from 1 species
AUUGAACGCUGGCGGCAGGCCUAACACAUGCAAGUCGAGUGAGCGGCGGACGGGUGAGUAAUGCUUGGGAAUCUAGCUUAUGGAGGGGGAUAACUACGGGAAACUGUAGCUAAUACCGCGUACCAUAGGAGGAGCCCAAGUGGGAUUAGGUAGUUGGUGAGGUAAAGGCUCACCAAGCCGACGAGCUCUAGCUGGUCUGAGAGGCUGACCAGUCACACGGGGACUGAGACACGGCCCAGACUCCUACGUGAGGCAGCAGUGGGGAAUAUUGCGCAAUGGGGGCAACCUGACGAAGCCAUGCCGCGUGAAUGAAGAAGGCCUUCGGGUUGUAAAGUUCUUUCGGUAGCGAGGCGUUAACUACAGAAGAAGCACCGUCUAACUCCGUGCCAGCCGCCGCGGUAAUUC